rnacentral:rRNA from 1 species
GUGAGGAAUCUUCCGCAAUGGACGAAAGUCUGACGGAGCAACGCCGCGUGAGUGAAGAAGGUUUUCGGAUCGUAAAGCUCUUUCGUUAGGGACGAACGUGCUCUUUGUGAAUAAUGAGGAGUAAUGACGGUACCUAAAUAAGAAGCCACGGCUAACUACGUGCCAGCAGCCGCGGUAAUACGUAGGUGGCAAGCGUUGUCCGGAAUUAUUGGGCGUAAAGCGCGCGCAGGCGGGAUAUCAAGUCUGUCUUAAAAGUGCGAGGCUCAACCUCGUGAGGGGACAGAAACUGGUAUUCUUGAGUGUCGGAGAGGAAAGUGGAAUUCCAAGUGUAGCGGUGAAAUGCGUAGAGAUUUGGAAGAACACCAGUGGCGAAGGCGACUUUCUGGACGAUGUCUGACGCUGAGGCGCGAAAGCUAGGGGAGCGAACGGGAUUAGAAACCCUAGUAGUCC